ACUUUGGGAGGCCGAGCCACCGGGCCCAUCCACUUAUUUUACUUUUUGAGACAGUCUCACUCUGUUGUCCAAGAUGGAGUGCAGUGGCACGAUCGUGGCUCACUGCAGCGUUGAACUCCCAGGCUCAGGUGAUCCUCCCAUCUCAGCCUUCCUGAAUAGCUGGGACUACAGACAUGGUCCAACAUGUCUGGCUAAUUUUUCUAUGUAUACAUAUUUUCAAUUCUCAUUCAACACCUUUGGUAAAUUUUUGUACUUUUUGUAGAGACGGGGUUUUGCCAUAUUGCCCAGGCUGGUGUUGAACUCCUAAGCUCAAAUGAUUUGCCUGCUUUACCCUUCCAAAUAUUUUAGUUUUUGAGAAAGCUCUCACUAUUUUACCUAAACUGGUCUUGAACUCCUGAUCUCAAGCAAUCCUCCUACCUCAGCCUUCCAAAGAGCUGGGAAUGGCAAAAAUGUUACUUAUCAAAAUGAAAGGCCAGGUGUGGUGGUUCACUCCUAUAAUCCCAGCACUUUGGAAAUGCGAGGCAGGUGGAUCACCUGAGGUCAGGAGUU
rnacentral:lncRNA from 10 species